AUGUAUUCACAAUAAUUGGUUGAGCGACACUUGGCUCCCUUUUAUUUACAUUUCAGACUCCGUGAAAAUUUUAAUUGUACCAUUUUUUUUAUAUUUAACCCCAACCAACCCGGUACUUUGAUACCACAUACAAAAAUGGAAAAGAAAAAACCAUUCAUAAAAAAAAAAACA
rnacentral:misc_RNA from 1 species